AAGUUAAAGUUGUUGUUAUUGUUUGAUCAUCUCCUGCCGGUUUGUUUAUAGAUGAAAAUGUUGAUGGUUGUGUGUGUUGUGUGUGUGUGUGUGUGUAAUGCAUCUUGUAAUAACGAAUUUUUAUAUUCUUUAGUUAAAAAUUUUUAUCUUCAAAUUAAAUAUUAUUGUACCAAUAUUGGAAAAAAUUGCCAUCACUUCAAAAAGCCGAUAAUGCUAUUAUUUCAUCUUCAAAUAAGAACAUAGAGUCAAUAUGAAAAAAAAAUAUUUAAUCUGAAAAUCUAGGCCAAAAGAGGCAUGAUGGUCGUGUCGUGGUAACUUGGAAAGUUGCCAUUGAUGAUGUGCCAGUUGAUUGGCUACGAUAUGAAAUCCACUUAUGAUUAUUGCAUUAAUUUUUCUGACUUGUUUUCAUGAGAAAAAAAUUCUUUUUUGAAUUUAAACUCAAAAAUAGACUUUCUCUUCUUAUUUGUUCAUAUCA